rnacentral:rRNA from 1 species
UACGUAGGUGGCGAGCGUUGUCCGGAUUUACUGGGCGUAAAGGAUGCGUAGGUGGAAAUUUAAGUCGGAUGUGAAAUCCCCGGGCUCAACCCGGGAACUGCAUUCCAAACUGGAUUUCUUGAGUACAGGAGAGGAAAGCGGAAUUCCUAGUGUAGCGGUGAAAUGCGUAGAUAUUAGGAGGAACACCAGUGGCGAAGGCGGCUUUCUGGACUGUAACUGACGCUGAGUCACGAAAGCGUGGGUAGCAAACAGGAUUAGAUACCCCCGUAGUCCCUGAGCGGGCU